CAGCUUCCGCUACAGGGAAAAUAAUAAUGGAGGCAGCGAGAACUAUAAAGGAUGUUUCUCCCCAUGAGUUAGUGAAUGCCUACAUUGCCCAUCUCAAACACUUUGACAAGUUUUGCUUUUAGAAACUUUUAAAAGAAAUAGAGGCUUGCUUGUAUAUUUGAAUGCUUUUUGUUUUUUUAACUAUUUUUAGAGUUUUAGGCCUAGUGUGAAAAAUAGGGUAAGAGGUGAGGGAGAGAGUAAGAGGAGCAGCGACCGGCGAGAGAGAUGGCAUGAGCGUUAUGGGGAGCAAGAGUGAUGGAGAUAGUGAAGAAGCACAAUAGUGGUCACGUUUGGAAGAUAUUUAACCUCACUUCCACUCGCAAAGCCAACGACAAGAAGUGUCUCCAUCGCGUUUGGCAAGUCAUUUUAUCUAUACUUUGCUUCAUUUCAUCUAUCUUUUCUAAUUAUUUCCCCUUUUGGGUAUUCAAUAUUUUCCAUAAAAAUUGGUUCUUUAGAGUAAUUGAAAUCAUGAAUAAAGAAAGAAGAAUUCAGCAGCAAUCACCGGUUGCAGCUGAAAUCCCUCUUUUUCCCCAAGAAAUCAUGGUGGAAAUCUUUUUAAGAUUACUCGUCAAAUUGCUUUGCCAAUUCAGAUGUGUCUCAAAACAAUGGCUUUCUUUUAUAUCAGAUCUCCUUUUAGCCAAAUCCCACCUCAAAAAACCAUUAAGAAUGAUAGUUUUUAUUCUCAGAGGAAAAGAGUAACCAUUUCCUCAAACAAUUUGUACUCUUUUGAAUAUGAAUCAAUCGGUAGAAAUUGUAGUUUUGAUGAGAAUUUGGUAGCUUUAGAGCUUGAUUAUCCUUUGAAAGACGGGCCAAAUGGAUUAGCUGAGUUAUUAGAUUAUGGUAGAGAUGGUUUUAUGUAAUGUGAAAGAAGUGAAGAAGGUAAUGAUGAAUUUCCAGUAAUGGUGAAGUUAAAUUUUCCAUUUUGUGUGAACCAAAAGAAUGGCUGAUAUCUUAGGUUCUUGUAAUGGUUUGGUUUGGUUUGUAUUUCCCCAGAUGAAGAUACCCUUUUUUUUUGUUUAAUCCUUCCAUUACAGAAUCCAAGAGAAUCCUAGACCCACCUUCGAAUUUUGUUCCGAAUGAUUGGAGUGUUUACGGUUUCGGUUUUAAUUUUGUUAAGGAUGAUUAUAAGGUAGUGAAAGUAGGUUGUGGAACUGUUUGUGUUUACUAAUUGAGAACUUAUUCUUGGAGGAUUGUUUGUAGUUUAAAAACAUUAUUUAAAUUUCUCACACUAGGUUGUCUACUUACCAUGAAUUUAUAGUCAUGGUGGCACUUGGAUAAGAGAAUCAUCAUAUAUCGUCUUUUCUUUUUCAAAGAAUUAAAUGGUAACAAUAUACAUUAUUUGAAUGAUAAAAUGUUUGAUUUACAUAUUUAUGUGAAACUCUUUGCAUAUUUUUAGCUACUAUUUGGUGUUCUUUUGUUGUUCUUUUGCUUUUUUGCUCUACAGUUAGCUUUAUGAAAAAUUAGAAAAGUUACAAAAAAAAAAUUGAGGCCUUAAUUAGGUUCUUAUUUUGUUUUUGUGGAACAAAUUGAUAGACCAGUCUGAACAAUGGGGUUGAACCAAUUGAAUCAGAAAUUAUGUUCAUUCAAUAAUAAUAGUUCUUUCUCUUUUUAUUUGUUCUUUAAAUUUCUUAAAUGAAAGUGGAAAUUUUUGCAAACGCACUCUAUGAAAGAUGAAUUUGUUUUGAGGUAAUUUCUUCGCUUUCUAUAUAUAAUUCAUCUAUAUGAAAUCUAAUGUAUAUGUUUUUUUGUGAUUGAUGAAUGAGAAGAUGGUGAUGAGUUUAAUUUUUUUAAUUCAUCUAUAUGAAAUCUUAUGUAUAUGUUGCUUCCUGCUAGUUUAUCUUUUGAACAUGUUUUGGUCUUUUGGUAAUUGGAUUUAGUGAAGAGAAUAGUUAUGUAACAGACCAUUUUCCAGUGGUUUUGGGACCAUAAUUUCGAAGUGUCGGUUUGUAAAUAUUCAUUAUUUAAUAUUUACGAGGUCACUAGUGUCGUACUAAAAUUUGAAUAAGAAAUUUUGAUGUUUAGCUACUUAAUUAAAGAAAAAAGACUAAAUUGUAAAAGUACAAAAAUUUAAUUAGUACUAGUUUAAUUGGUCAAAUGGAUGGAAAAGCAUUAUGGUAGGGAAUUGCAAUUAAGCCAUUUUUCUAGUUAGUGGUUGAUUAUAAGCCAUUUUCAUUGAUUUUAUGUUUAAAUUUUAUAUUAUAAUUAAAUAAAAAGUCAUUUUGAUAAUACAAUAAAGUGAGAAAGGUUCCAUCUUCUUCUUGGUUUAUUGUUAAAAUCGAAAACCCCAUUUUAAACAUUAGAGCUUUGAUUUUGCUAGUCAUGGUGCAUGUAGGUAUUUUCUUGGUUUAUUUAUCAUGAAUUUUAAGUUUUGAGCUAAUUGUAAUGGAAUCUAGCUAUUUGGGGGUUAAAUUUUGAAAUUAUCGAAGCAUAAAAAUUAUGUCAUUGAAAUUUUUGAAGCUUUUUAGUUGUAUUUGGUUUGGGUUGAAGCUUGGUGUUGAUUUUUAUUGAGUUUACAAAGUAAUUUUUAAUAAAUUGUAAAUUUAAGGAGUUAAUCGUAACUAUGUAUAAUUAGCCUGGUUUCUUUAUAUUUCAUAUCAAGUAAGUAUCUAAACAAAUACUAACACACCUAUUACAUGCCAUAUAACCCAAAAGUAAACAUUCAAAAACUACCAAUAAUAUCUGGAUAGUGUGAUUUCUUUGAGUUGAUUAUCUUCGAUGUGUCGUAACUAAUGAUUAUCUUCGAUGUGUCGUAUCUUUACUUAAAGAUGAAGCUUACAAUUUGCGGUCAAUGUUAAUAGCGGUACUACUGAGAGGUAACAUCAAUUGGGAAUUCUUUAAAACAAAUUUUAAAAAUAAGUAUGUUAGCAAAAGAUACCUGAUUCGAAAAAAAAAGAAUUUUUUGAAUUGAAACAAGGUAACAAGUCGAUAGCUGAGUAUGAAAGAGAGUUUGUACAUCUCAACAAGUAUGCUUUUAAAAUCGUGUUGAAUGAGGAAGAAAUGUGCAUUUGUUUUGAAGAUGGAUUAAAUGACGAAAUUAAAAUGUUGAUUGCAGGGAUAGAAAUACAUGAGUUCAUUGUUUUGUCUGAUCGUGAUCAAAAGAUGGAGGAAGUUUAUAAUCUAAAGAGAAAGAGAGAUAAAAAGGCUCAAAAUUUUGGAAAAAAGAAGCUUUUCUAAGUCUUUUUCUACACCACCGUCAAAGAAAUUAAAUGAAGAUUUUAAUCAUGUCACUUCACCAUUUGGGUUCUUGGGUAAAAAUAUAUCAAGGCAACAUGAUUCGAAAUCUCAAAUUAAUUUUAAUAGCCCAUUUUUCAAUGGUGUCAGAAACAGUGAUUUCAGGACACAAUUCUGAUGAGUGAGUACAUAAAAGUCAAGUGGUUUUGAAAAUGAGGUUUUGGGACCUUGUUUUUGUAAAUCAAGCUUGUAAAUGAUUUUAAUAAACAUUUACGGAGUUACUAAAUAGGUAUAUUAAAGUUUUGUCCAAAAAUUUUAACGUUUAUAUAGUUAAUUAAAUGAAAAGGACUAAAUCGUAAUAGUUACUAAAAUUAGUUUUAUAGGUUUAAUUAUGGAAAAUGACUAUAAAAGCAUUAAUUAAAGGUUUUAAAUGGCAAUUAUACCAUAUAAAUUUGUAGUGGACGAUUUGUUCUGGCAUGGUAUGAGAUUUUUGGUCAUUUUAAGUUUAAAAAUGUAAAUUAAAUUAAAUAAAGUAAUAAAAAAAUGAUGAAAACCAUCAUCUUCCACUUACCCUUUUUUUUACCACCGAAACAAGAGAAACAAAAACUUGAGAGGCCAUUGUUGAUAGCUUAAGGUUCGACCAAGUAAGUGUAUUUUUAUCUCGUUUGUUGUAAUUUUUAUAUUGUUGAGAUUAUUACAACUAGGUCUAACUAACCCAGGUGUUUAUUCGUAAAACUAUUAAAUGUUUUGAAAUGUGUCAUUGUUGAAUUUGUGAGAUUCUUGAAGUUUUAUGAUAGUUUUGUAAGUUUGGUAACUAAAUAAGAUUGUUUUGUAAAGUAGUUUUUAGUGAAUUUGAUGUUUAAGGAGUAAAUUGUUAAAGAAGUAAAAUUUCUUGGAAUUAUUUUGAAAUUGAGAAAUGUAUGAGUUAUACAAGGAUUAUAGGAAUUUCGGCUAGCUUGGUUUAAGCUUAAAUGUGUUCAAUUUGAUAGUUUCGGGUUUAAAGACUAAACUGCAUAAAGAGUAAAGUUUAGGGGUAAAAUUUUAAAAAGCUAUUAAAAAGGCUUAAAUACAUAAAUUUGAGUGAUCAUGUAGUUUUAAUUUAUAUAAUUAAAUUAAACUAUACUUUAGAUCAAGGAUCUCAACGAUCAAAGGACGUACGAGGAAAAGGAAAAAUUAUCGAUUAGUCCUUGAUAGUUGAAUCACUUUGAUAGGUAAGUUUCUAUUGAUGUCUUUCGUUAUAAUUUGAAAUAAAAUGGUGAUAAUUAUAUCUAUGUAUAUUUAGUUGACAAUGUAGGAAAGAAUUUGGUCUAUAAGAAAUAGAAAUGAAAUUUUCUGGAAUGAUUUCGAUGGAUCGAGUAAAAGUUUCAUACAUGAGAUUUCUGUCUGAAUAUCUGUUCUAGACCGAGCUUCUGGAUGUGUUGCGAACUCAAAUUUAUAUGUGACUCAGAUUUAGCUUAGACCGGUAAUUCGUUUUUGUUUUACAUGUAUACAUAGCUCUGGCCAAACUAGUUUACCUGUGUUGUCACUGGUUUAGCUCAGACGAGUAACCUGACGCAUUCAUUCUGUAUCUGGUUAGCUCUUAUAAGCAUUAUCUGUUUUUGGACUUAUGUAUUGAAUACUUUACAAAUAUCCAUCGAAAGAAUAAAGGUUAUUUUGAUACAGAACUGUUUCAUUGAAAUAAGCAAAAUAUGAAUUAUGAAUAUCUGUAUAUUCAUUACUUAUUGACCCAGAAUUGUUAAACUAUGUCCUAAUAUGAAAAAAUAUGACAAGGAUAUGUGAAGCAAAUUUUAAUGAUAAAAGUGAUGCAAAAUGAUAAAUUGAAAAGAAAUGGAUUCAUGAUGAAAUUUUAAAUUAAAGUUGGUAUUUUACCAUUUGAAAUUACAUGUGGUUUGGACUAAAUCUCAUAUGGUUGAUGUUUUGAAUGUUAUGCUAGGUGAAAUUGUUUCAAAUUGAUUCUUGUAAUUGUUAAAUGGUUAAGGUAAUCUACUUGUCCAUAUUGUAUGAGUUUACUAAGUAUUUUAUAUAUUUACUUGAGUUAUUGCUUUUCAGUAGAUUUUGAGCUGUUCAAAACGUGUGGAUCGGAUCCACGAGAAGCUCACACCUUUGAUCUCCCGAUUCGGUAGACUUUUGAUGUUUCGAGCUUGGUUAUUUGUGGCUUAUACUUAGGAGUAUUAAAUAUUGAAAUGUAAAGCUUGUGUUUGUGGUUUGGCAUGGUUGAGUUUGAAUGAAUAUAAAUAGUAAAUAAAUGUAUAUGGUAAUUUAGCAUAUAAAUGAUUAUGAUAAAGACAUUGUUAGUAUUAAGUAUUUGUUUAGAUGAUAGCAUGAAAUGGCAAUGGACUUUGGUAUGUUAGUUAAUUUUUUGUAAUAAUGAUAUGUUUGGCUUGAUGAAAUUGUAUAAAUUUUUAGGCUAUAUUAUGAACUUUGCCUAUUGAUAUUCUAGUUAAAGAAUUAAUUCUUGCAUAUGUAUGUUUAGGUAUGAUUAACUUGUCAAGAAUGGUAAAGUUUCCUUAUUGUGUAAUGGUUGAAUUGUUGGUGUCAAUGAGGGCAUAUUAGUUGCUUGUUUGUAUGAUUAGUAAAUUGAUGUUUUGGUUUUGUAGUCUACAUAUUUUGGAGUAGGUUUGAAUGGUGUUAAAUGACACUAUUAAGUCAUUUGGCAUGAAUGGCAUGC
rnacentral:lncRNA from 1 species